rnacentral:misc_RNA from 1 species
GAUGAAGAACGUAGCGAAACGCGAUAAGUAAUGUGAAUUGCAGAAUCCAGUGAAUCAUCGAAUCUUUGAACACACAUUGCGCCCGCCAGCAUUCUGGCGGGCAUGCCUGUUCGAGCGUCAUUUCAACCCUCGACCUCCCCUUGGGGAGGUCGGCGUUGGGGACCGGCAGCACACCGCCGGCCCUGAAAUGGAGUGGCGGCCCGUCCGCGGCGACCUCUGCGCAGUAAUACAGCUCGCACCGGGACCCCGACGCGGCCACGCCGUAAAACACCCAACUUCUGAACGUUGACCUCGAAUCAGGUAGGACUACCCGCUGAACUUAAGCAUAUCAAUAAGCGGAGGA